rnacentral:rRNA from 1 species
GGACCCGCACAAGUAGUGGAGCAUGUGGUUUAAUUCGAAGAUACGCGCAGAACCUUACCAACACUUGACAUGUUCGUCGCGACUUUAAGAGAUUAAAGUUUUCGGUUCGGCCGGACGAAACACAGGUGCUGCAUGGCUGUCGUCAGCUCGUGUCGUGAGAUGUUGGUUAAGUCCCGCAACGAGCGCAACCCUCACUUUUAGUUGCCAUCAUUUAGUUGGGCACUCUGAAAGAACUGCCAGUGAUAAGCUGGAGGAAGGUGGGGAUGACGUCAAGUCCUCAUGGCCCUUACGUGUUGGGCUACACACGUGCUACAAUGGUAUUUUACAACAGGAAGCAAGACGGCGACGUUUAGCAA